UGCGCACACACCCUGGUGAGAUGGAGAGCGAUGCAGAGAGCAGCAAUUACAAUGGUUCUGAGAGCAGCUUUGAAGUGGAAGACUUCUCCCCACCAGAAUCCCUUGAAUUACACUGUGACUGGGUUGAUGAUAGCGCAGGUUCAUUGCCUUAUCAAUUUGAACCUUUGAACCCUCACAUUCAUGCAAGAGAAAGAGUGUAUAGGGUUGUGAAUUUGAGCCAGAUGCUGAAUGUACUGUGAAAGUGCACUCUGACGAUAAUGGGCGAUGGUAAAAUCAUCUGCUCAAACUGAAUUCUUCUAAGUUUCAAAAGGCUUCCACGGGAAGCCUGAGCCUGCACAGGGCAUGCCCGGCAAGCCCGAAAGGCCCCAACAUAUAGAGCUGUGGCUCUCGACCACAAAGAGCCAGACAUUUUCACUCAGCCCUGGAAUUCAUCUUCAUGACUCAACUCAGUCAGUCAGGGGUUAUUUUAGAACCUAAGAGGAUGAGGAAGAUGAGCUAGAAUUCUUCAGGACUUCCCUAAGCGUGCGUCAGACCUUGCGGCCUUGUCUUUCCAUUCCCCAAAGAUCACAGGACUUCAGCUGGGUCCCUCUCAGCUCUUGGUUCUUCUUUACUUUUCACAUGGGAAGAAACUCCCAGUCACCACUGAGUCAGAACAUCUUUGGAGUUCACCACUCUUCAGACCCGGAAAAACGUGAUCACGAUUCCAAAACCACCACUGCUCCAAACCAUUAAGACUUUCAUCCGAGACUGCAUUCGGACACUUGUUCAACAACCAAGGCAAUGCAAGUAUUGUACAUUUAACUAAACAAAACAGAGGUUUAGUAUAAGCUGUAGACAGCACUGAUGGUUUCACUCAGGUGGUUAACUGAUUCUUCUCAUAGCUUCAUUAUCUUGUCUCUCUUUAAUGGCCUUUCACUGACCCUUCCCCCAUGUAUGAGUGAUUUCAUGUUUGUUUGUUUAGAUUAGUUAUGUGUCAGUACUUAGUUAAUAAAGCUCUUGUGUUACAUGAGUUUUGAUUCUCAUUCUGCCUUGCAAAAUUAAUGUCCCUUUACGAUUCCGAUUCGAGCUACAUGCUCUAAUACAAUGGUACUUUAAGAAAGUUAUUUACUGUGGCCAAGAAAAUAUAAUUUCUUAGAGUUGAUAUAAAAAUUAUAAUGAAUGUUCGUUGGAAGAACAGAUCAGUUGAUGGAAAAUUAAUCCUGCUACAGUUACUACUGGCAGCUGGUAUAAAUAAUUGUAAUUAAUCAUAAUUAAUUGUAAUUAUUUAUAUACAUUUCCCUUUUGAGCUAAAUUCGCGACAGUAUGCUGCAGUUGUAUUAGGUAGUCGUGGCAGUACCUGCAACAGGAUCAACUAGUUUGACGGGCCAAUCCAUGCUUACCAUUUCCAUAAUGCUCGGCCAAUGAUAAAAUGAUAAAAUUUCCAUCUCAAUAAUAGAUCAGUGAAUUGCCUUUUUGGAUUUGGCUUGGCAAGUGGCGAUAGCCCAAUAAUGUAUCAACCAAUAGCAAAUUCGUGCAUUGUGUAAUCGCCAUCUUGGUUUGUCUUGGCCAGCAGCGAAAGCCCAAUAAUGUAUCGACCAAUCUCGAAUCCACUUUCAAAAAUCACUGUGGCCAACAUCAUGAAUCAGAUUGACAGAUCCUUCCACCAAUCAGGUUGCAGCAUUCAAGCAUAUUUUGUGCUAGCAUCAGCUUGGGAAGAGAUGCUGUAGUGAAUACCAACAGCGAGACCUCACCUGUCUCAUCAGUUCCAUCUCCUUACAGUGACAGCUCUGUUGCUACAACCACUGUGACAACCAGCACUUCUCCUUCCACUGCUGGGAGAGCUAGGCCUGCUUCAUCGUCUGUGAGAGCCAGCCCAUCUCAAUUCUCUGGGAGAUCAAGUCCGUCUUCAUCUCCUAUGAGAACCAGUCCAUCUCCAUCCUCUGCCAAAGCCAGUGCUUCUCCAUCUCCAUCCAUGAUAAGCAGCCCUUCUGCAUCUGGUGAUCCUGUAGCUUCUGGCAGUCAUUUGUGGCAGUUGCUGCUUCACCUUUGGCUCCUGCUCCAUCUUCAGCUCCUGCUGAUUCUUCCAUUUGUGCACUGCCAGCUGAAAUGAGGAAGACAAUCCCCUCACAAGAUCAGAGGUGGACAGCAUCUACACUUUUUCACACUGGCAGACUUCGGUCAGACUUAAAACUCUGGUGUGAGCCUCCAGUCCCCUCCCUUAUCUACCACCAGGCACCAGCUCCAGACCAUUUUUUUCACACACAGGCUGCUGGUGUGGAUGCCCUACCACCAAUGGAAGAUGCAUGUGACAUUCGUGUCAUACGUCUGCUGAGGGAGAGGACACUUAGCAAUAGCCCUUCCCCGACUGGUUAAGCAACUGAAGGAGAACCAUGGAGAGGGAUGGCUCAACAGAUUGGCACACUACAUGGGGGAAUGUGCGGCCUUUGUUGACCACCCCAGCUUCUUGCCAGUUGUUUUCCAGGAGCCUCCAGAGCUGUUUGAAGUCCCUACCAGCAAAUAGCUACUGACUGUUAAUGGGAAGGAUAUUGUCAACCGACUGGAUCACAUUAAGGCCAGCAUCACUUUUGGGUCAAUUUUAAAAAUGGAUUUGACAAAGGAGAUCACAAAGAACAGGGCAAGCUUCAGACCCGAUUUUGAGAAUGGCCCAACCUUAACAUCAGGCUGGACAUAUGACACUUUAUGCGACAGCUGGCAGCAGGGUGCACCACGGAUGCCCAUUGCCUUCAUGGCAAAGCUAUCUGAAUGCAUAUUUGAGUGGGACCCACAUGACAUUGCUCUUUUGCAUCAGGCGAAGAGAGAGCAGCUGGAAGAGAAAGAGGUGCGUUUAACAGGCGGAUAACAAAGAAAGAUUUGGCCCUCUUCUGCUGCCGAAAGACUUGUGGAGUAGAGACUACUAUCUGCCUAAUCAAGCACCUUUUGCAAGAGUUAAAGGAGAAAAAAGGAAGAGAUCUUCUAGGUGUACCUCUGCUGGACACUGUGCGGAUGGAGCACAUCUGACGUGUUCAAAAGAGACGUGAAGUGCCUCCAGGAUGUGCCAGGUGUGACGCUCUACAUAGAGACGAGCACCACCACUACCAAGGGACACAUAGUUCUCACCAAAUACAGGUGUGCCAGGGGCUCAACAUUUCUUGAGUUAUUCCACUGUCACUUGCAGAGAUUCAUUACAGAAACCAACGCAAAUACCUUGUAUUUUCAGCUGUAUCUCCUGGAAGGCCUGAACAGAUGGAAGCAGGACCGAGCAGCAGCACCUGUGGUCACCAAGCCAUCCUCUCUCCUCUCGCAUGCAAGUGAUGUAGUGCACUGUUUUAACACUAAUAGUUUGAAAGUGAUCGGUAGGAAAAAUGUUCCUACCUUCCAGCCCCCUGCAAAGUUCACAGGCCACAUCAUGCUAGCCACUUGUUUGUUCAACAUGAACCAUGGCUACAGAUGGUCAAUGAAAAUAGCCGAGAGCAGUCGGGGGCGGCGUUGAAAACAAAGCUGACACUUUCUGGUCUCGUUAGAAACGCUCUCGUGGUGUUUGCUUACUCAGGUGAAGGGAAUUAAGUGCAAUAUUUUUCAAAUACAAUGUUUAAAAGCGUUUUCAUGAACAACAGAAACAAUUUUCAUAUACUGAUUAAUACAGCGCCAUCUGAACAAUGUAUGUAUGAACAAUGAAUGAUGUUCAACAUAAACAUAUUCUAUUUACAUACUAAUAAAGUGGGGUUAGGUAUGCAUUUAACUCAAUAUAACAUUGCAACUACAGUAAAAACACUUUUACUGUUCUAAAAACACAGAUUUGUGAGCAUUAUCGGACUGGAGGAUGUUAGAAUAAACCCGAAACACAUGUGAUCGUUGUCAUGCGGUGAAUCAGGCCAAUCGUGAAACAGCUGUGUCGUCAUCAGAGCUCCUGCAGCUGCUCUGAAAAAACUGCGCCGGCUGAGUUAGCCGACUCUUGAAUUAUUAUCGCGGUACUUUGAUUCCACACGUGACAAUCACAAGUCAUCGGCGCCGUCUCAAGUCGGACAAAAUUUCUAACCAGCAUGCACUGCUUCAAGUCAAAAUUUAAUUGAGCUGUGCAGCGCUGUGUUAAGUCGAACACACCUUUUGUUUCCACUUUCAGGAGCACAUGUCAUAUGACUACAUAUUUUCUCCAACAAAAGGUGCAUUUUUCAUAAAUUUUCAAAUAUAUAAGUGCAGACAAAAAAUCUGUCACCUUCAUUGGUUAGUGAAGAAUUUUCAAAAACUUUUCAAAAUAUUUCAUCAAAUAUAUGAAAGGAAAUUACAAAGGCAACAUUGUAAUGUAAUGCAAUCACAUAUGGCCAUACCAGGCUUAUAGGACAGAAUACAUGUAUAUGAUAUUUGUAAGAAAAAAAGUUAGAAAUAGUUAUCUAAAUGUAUUUGCAUUUUUGCAUGAUAUUGUAAUGCAUUUAUAAGAAUUGUAAUUCAUAUACAAUAUCUGCACAUAUUCUGUUGACAGGAAGUGCUUCCACAGCUUUCACAAGCAGUGAGGAGUCAUUAGUGAGGAAGGAGAUUUUACAUGCAUGUAUGUUGUGUGUGUAUAUGCAUGCUUGUAAGGAUAAGUUACACAUUAGCAUAAGGUUAUGAUUUUUUUUUUUUUUUUUU